rnacentral:rRNA from 1 species
CUACGGGAGGCUCCAGUGGGGAAUAUUGCACAAUGGGCGCAAGCCUGAUGCAGCCAUGCCGCGUGUAUGAAGAAGGCCUUCGGGUUGUAAAGUACUUUCAGCGGGGGGGAAGGGAGUAAAGUUAAUACCUUUGCUCAUUGACGUUACCCGCAGAAGAAGCACCGGCUAACUCCGUGCCAGCAGCCGCGGUAAUACGGAGGGUGCAAGCGUUGAUCGGAAUUACUGGGCGUAAAGCGCACGCAGGCGGUUUGUUAAGUCAGAUGUGAAAUCCCCGGGCUCAACCUGGGAACUGCAUCUGAACUGGCAAGCCUUGGUCUCGUUGGGGGGGGUAGAAUUCCCGGUGUAGGGGUGAAAUGCGUAGGAGACUGGAGGGAUACCGGUGGCGGAGGCGGCCCCCUGGGCGAAGGCUGACGCUCAGGUGCGAAAGCGUGGGGAGCAAACAGGAUUAGAUACCCUAGUAGUC